rnacentral:rRNA from 1 species
GUGGGGAAUAUUGGACAAUGGGCGAAAGCCUGAUCCAGCCAUGCCGCGUGUGUGAAGAAGGUCUUCGGAUUGUAAAGCACUUUAAGUUGGGAGGAAGGGCAGUAAGUUAAUACCUUGCUGUUUUGACGUUACCAACAGAAUAAGCACCGGCUAACUACGUGCCAGCAGCCGCGGUAAUACGUAGGGUGCAAGCGUUAAUCGGAAUUACUGGGCGUAAAGCGCGCGUAGGUGGUUUUGUAAGUUGGAGGUGAAAUCCCCGGGCUCAACCUGGGAACUGCCUCCAAAACUGCAUGACUAGAGUACGGUAGAGGGUAGUGGAAUUUCCUGUGUAGCGGUGAAAUGCGUAGAUAUAGGAAGGAACACCAGUGGCGAAGGCGACUACCUGGACUGAUACUGACACUGAGGUGCGAAAGCGUGGGGAGCAAACAGGAUUAGAAACCCUAGUAGUCC